rnacentral:rRNA from 1 species
CCUACGGGUGGCAGCAGUGAGGAAUAUUGGUCAAUGGGCGAGAGCCUGAACCAGCCAAGCCGCGUGAAGGAUGAAGGCUCUAUGGUUUGUAAACUUCUUUUAUAUGGGAGUAAAGUUAGUAACGUGUUACUUUUUGUAUGUACCAUAUGAAUAAGCAUCGGCUAACUCCGUUCCAGCAGCCGCGGUAAUACGGAGGAUGCGAGCGUUAUCCGGAUUUAUUGGGUUUAAAGGGUACGUAGGUGGUUAAUUAAGUCAGAGGUGAAAGUUUGGGGCUCAACCAUAAAAUUGCCGUUGAUACUGGUUGACUUGAGUAUAGUUGAGGUAGGUGGAAUGCGUGGUGUAGCGGUGAAAUGCGUAGAGAUCACGAAGAACACCGAUUGCGAAGGCAGCUUACUAAACUAUAACUGACACUGAAGCGCGAAAGCGUGGGGAGCAAACAGGAUUAGAUACCCUUGUAGUC